CCCCUGCAACAAGGCCUUCCCCUGAUCUGAGCUAAUCCAACAGGCUAAUCUUGCCACUAGCUUGAGAACCACAGGAAUCAUUCUACUCUCCCUCAUUGUGAGGAAAGGUCCCAAUGUUCUAACCCAGCUGGAGUCCCAAGACGGGAUACAUGUGAUAGCACCAUGUGCACCACUACGAUGGUCCUCACCACUAUUGCUGUCAUCCUAUACAGAAAGUUCUCAAACCGAGUCGAACCGCACAAUGUUGAUGAUACCAAUGAGGAGCCCUACAUGAAGAGCAAUGGAGUGGACCCUAAGAAAUAACAACCCUCACAGCAGAUGUAGCUCUAGUCUACAGUGUACAUGGUACAUAAAAGUAAAAUAACAAGUAGCCUACAGAACUGAAUGCUGUCUGAUAUUUCAAGAUGUGUUAAGGAAUACAAGAGGAGGAGGGGAAGAGAGAGGGAGGGAAAAUGGAACAUGUGGCAGAAGUAGAGAUGCAUGAAGUGAGAAGAUGUAUGGCCGUUCCACAUUUAGCUUUCAAGUACUCACCACUACGCUGCUCCCACUAAAUGAUUUAGUGGCAGAACAACAAUCCAUCAGCUCUGUGGAAGGUUAUUAUAAAUGCAUUACCUCCCCAAGCCUACCAGUUCAAUGGAGUCGUGCAGGGCCUCAUAAAUAUGGGUCAAUAUAGGGACACACACAAAAGACUCAGGAUGAAUGAAAUAGGCUUUAUUGUUUUAGUGUGAACUUUCACCCUACCUGUGCGUAGAAGCUCUCAGAUCUGAGGCGGGUCUUUUCAAAUGAAGAGACACACGAACUGAAGACAGGUCUUCACCUUGAUGGCUACACAUCUGAUCCCUCUAAUAUUAUUUCAGCAGAGGAUUGUCCCAGGAGGCCUCCCUCCUCCUUCUUGAGGCAGGAGAAUUACAUUUCUGGGAAUGAAACCUCAACCAAUCACAUCUUGGUGGAGCUGAAUCUACAGAACAACGUCUUGGUUUAUUGUGGGUUUCUUGUUUUGUAGAGUUGGAUGUUUUCUUAAGGCUUAAAGUAGGCCAAUGAUCAAUGUAAAACUGUUGGAAUGUGUUCCGUGCCUCAAAAAACAGUAGUUUUCUUUGAUUGUCAAAUAGGGCUAUACAGAUGUGUCCAUUGAGUAAAUUAUAAUGGCUUUUAAAGAAGAGGCAGAACUUUAAAAUUAUGCACUUUAAAUGGUAGGAUGUUUUUGGUAAUCUUUCACAUUCCUAAAGUGACUUAAAUAUUGUUUUUGACUGAAACAAGGAGCUACGGAUAAGCAAUAUGUUUAAAAUGAAUCGCUUGAACCCAUAAAUAUUUGACCAAAUGUCAGAGAACAUAAAUGUCUUGUCGUGAAGAUGUUUGUGCCAUGGCUACUCAAUCUGAAGAGCAAUGGAAAGAGGCAUCUGUUUUGUACCUCUCUGUCAACCCUCUCCAGUCACAAUGCAUUGCUAUGUGAUGAAAGAAAACCUGCAAGUGAAUCACCUCUUCCCCUACACCUUUAGCAUCCCGUUGGUCCCAUUGAAGGAGCAACAGUCAGAAAGAGGUGUCUGCCUAUGUUCAAAACACAGCUCCAACUUUACUUGACAUUUUUAAAAGCAGCUAGGUGUCACCUUAGUAAACGUCUGCCUUGAGUCAGAGCUUGGUGAUGAUGGUGGUUACUGGUAGGACGGUUUGUUACAGAAUCGACUUUCCUUUGACAUGACAUCUUACAACCUACUUCUUCUCUCUAAAGCAAACAUUAUGUCUGUUCUUUGCUCUCCCCACCUGAUCAAAUAAAGAGAUUGGGAAAAAUGUAGUUAGUUUGUACAUAUUUUUAUGGCCUUGGUUUGAAUUUUCUCUUGUUGUAGGAUACCUACUCCCAAAUGUUGCAUUGUAUGUACUGCAUGAUGACCAUUACUGUAUUACCACUUAUAAGAGACCCUUCAACAUGUAACAUACACAGUCUGAGAUAUUGAAUCUGUUCAUGUUUGUUUUUUUAACCA